AUGGGAUCUCAUCGUGUUUGCACUAUAAAAGGGGAUGUAAAAAUUUUGCUUCACAAUUUUUAUACAGGUUUAACCAUGCCCCAUAGGCAACUCUUGGAUUCCACCACUAAAGGGAAUUUUAUUGAGAGUGAUGCCAAUGUUGCUUAUGAAAUAAUAGAGGGUAUAUUGGGAGUUCCACCUUCACAGAAAGGAUUCAAUUAUACUCAAGUGGGAAUCCAAAUCUUAGAUAAAUUGGGUGAUAUGCAGAAAAAUUUGAUGGAGUUGCAAAAGUCUAAUGAACCUCUCAAAAAUAUUAGUGGAAAUCUUAAUCGCAUGAGUAUUUUGAUUACCCUUUGCAAUAAGCGAAUAUAUAUAUUUUAG
rnacentral:rRNA from 1 species